rnacentral:snRNA from 1 species
AGCUUUGAGCAGUGGCAAUAUCGUAGCCAAUGAGGUCUAGCCGAGGUGUGAUUAUUGCUAAUUGAAAACUUAAUAUGAUUGAAC